GAUGAACGCUGGCGGCGUGCUUAACACAUGCAAGUCGAACGGAAAGGCCCAAGCUUGCUUGGGUACUCGAGUGGCGAACGGGUGAGUAACACGUGGGUGAUCUGCCCUGCACUUCGGGAUAAGCCUGGGAAACUGGGUCUAAUACCGGAUAGGACCACUUCUUGGAUGUUGUGGGGGAAAGUUUUUUCGGUGUGGGAUGAGCUCGCGGCCUAUCAGCUUGUUGGUGGGGUAAUGGCCUACCAAGGCGUCGACGGGUAGCCGGCCUGAGAGGGUGUACGGCCACAUUGGGACUGAGAUACGGCCCAGACUCCUACGGGAGGCAGCAGUGGGGAAUAUUGCACAAUGGGCGCAAGCCUGAUGCAGCGACGCCGCGUGGGGGAUGACGGCCUUCGGGUUGUAAACUCCUUUCGCUAGGGACGAAGCGUUUUGUGACGGUACCUGGAGAAGAAGCACCGGCUAACUACGUG
rnacentral:rRNA from 1 species